CCUACGGGAGGCUGCAGUGAGGAAUAUUGGUCAAUGGACGAGCGUCUGAACCAGCCAAGUAGCGUGAAGGCUUACUGCCCUAUGGGUUGUAAACUUCUUUUAUCAAGGAAUAAAACGAGGCACGUGUGCCUUUUUGCAUGUACUUUAUGAAUAAGGAUUGGCUAACUCCGUGCCAGCAGCCGCGGUAAUACAGAGGAUCCGAGCGUUAUCCGGAUUUAUUUGGGUUAAAGGGAGCGUAGAUGGGUUGUUAAGUCAGUUGUGAAAGUUUGCGGGUCAACCGUAAAAUUGCAAUUGAUCCUGGCAGUCUUGAGUAGAGUUGAGGUAGGCGGAAUUCGUGGUGUAGCGGUGAAAUGCUUAGAUAUCACGAAGAACCCCGAUUGCGAAGGCAGCUUACUAAACUGUGACUGACAUUGAUGCUCGAAAGUGUGGGUAUCAAACAGGAUUAGAUACCCUGGUAGUC
rnacentral:rRNA from 1 species